GGCUUAGAGUUUGAUCAUGGCUCAGGACUAACGCUGGCGGCGUGCCUAAUACAUGCAAGUCGAACGGAAAUAUCCUUCGGGGUAUUUUAGUGGCGAACGGGUGAGUAAUACGUAGGUAACCUACCUGUAAGACGAGGAUAGCCAUUGGAAACGAUGGGUAAUACUGGAUAGGGACAACAGGUAAAGCAUUUUAAGUUGUUUAAAGGGAGAAAUCCGCUUACAGAGGGGCCUGCGGCGCAUUAGCUAGUUGGUGGGGUAAGGGCCCACCAAGGCGAUGAUGCGUAGCCGGACUGAGAGGUUGAACGGCCACAAUGGAACUGAGAACGGUCCAUACUCCUACGGGAGGCAGCAGUAGGGAAUUUUCGGCAAUGGGGGGAACCCUGACCGAGCAACGCCGCGUGAACGAAGAAGUACUUCGGUAUGUAAAGUUCUUUUAUUUGGGAAGAAAAGGAAAAAGAUUGACGGUACCAAAAGAAUAAGCUCCGGCUAACUACGUGCCAGCAGCCGCGGUAAUACGUAGGGAGCGAGCGUUAUCCGGAAUUAUUAGGCGUAAAGGGUGCGUAGACGGGGAAUAUAAGUCGUUUGUAAAAAUGCUAAGCUCAACUUAGUAGGGCAAACGAUACUGUAGACCUAGAGUACAGCAGAGGCAAGUGGAACUUCAUGUGUAGCGGUAAAAUGCGUAAUAUAUGGAAGAACACCAGUGGCGAAGGCGGCUUGCUGGGCUGAUACUGACGUUGAGGCACGAAAGCGUGGGGAGCAAACAGGAUUAGAUACCCUGGUAGUCCACGCCCUAAACGAUGAGUACUAAGUGUUGGUGAGAAUCAGUGCUGAAGUUAACGCAUUAAGUACUCCGCCUGAGUAGUACGUACGC
rnacentral:rRNA from 1 species